rnacentral:rRNA from 1 species
GACGAACGCUGGCGGCGUGCUUAACACAUGCAAGUCGAACGGAAAGGCCCUGCUUUUGUGGGGUGCUCGAGUGGCUAACGGGUGAGUAACACGUGAGUAACCUUCCCUUGACUUUUGGAUAACUUCAGGAAACUGGGGCUAAUACCGGAUAGGAGCUCCUGCUGCAUUGUGUGGGUUGGAAAGUUUCGGCGGUUGGGGAUGGACUCGCGGCUUAUCAGCUUGUUGGUGGGGUAGUGGCUUACCAAGGCUUUGACGGGUAGCCGGCCUGAGAGGGUGACCGGCCACAUUGGGACUGAGAUACGGCCCAGACUCCUACGGGAGGCAGCAGUGGGGAAUAUUGCACAAUGGGCGGAAGCCUGAUGCAGCAACGCCGCGUGCGGGAUGACGGCCUUCGGGUUGUAAACCGCUUUCGCCUGUGACGAAGCGUGAGUGACGGUAAUGGGUAAAGAAGCACCGGCUAACUACGUG